rnacentral:rRNA from 1 species
UCGAUUUGGAGUUUGUUGCCUAGAGUGAUGGGCUCCGAAGCUAACGCGAUAAAUCGACCGCCUGGGGAGUACGGCCGCAAGGUUAAAACUCAAAUGAAUUGACGGGGGCCCGCACAAGCGGUGGAGCAUGUGGUUUAAUUCGAUGCAACGCGAAGAACCUUACCUGGUCUUGACAUCCACAGAAUCUUGCAGAGAUGCGAGAGUGCCUUCGGGAACUGUGAGACAGGUGCUGCAUGGCUGUCGUCAGCUCGUGUUGUGAAAUGUUGGGUUAAGUCCCGCAACGAGCGCAACCCUUAUCCUUUGUUGCCAUUGGUUCGGCCGGGAACUCAAAAGAGACUGCCGUUGAUAAAGCGGAGGAAGGUGGGGACGACGUCAAGUCAUCAUGGCCCUUACGACCAGGGCUACACACGUGCUACAAUGGCGUAUACAAAGGGAGGCGACCUCGCGAGAGCAAGCGGACCUCAUAAAGUACGUCUAAGUCCGGAUUGGAGUCUGCAACUCGACUCCAUGAAGUCGGAAUCGCUAGUAAUCGUGAAUCAGAAUGUCACGGUGAAUACGUUCCCGGGCCU